UGAAGCUGGAAUCGCUAGUAAUCGCGAAUCAGAAUGUCGCGUGAAUACGUUCCCGGUCUUGUACACACCGCCCGUCACACCAUGGGAGUCGGAAAUGCCCGAAGUCAGUGACCCAACCGUAAGGAGGGAGCUGCCGAAGGUGGAGCCGGUAACUGGGGUGAAGUCGUAACAAGGUAUC
rnacentral:rRNA from 1 species